GCCGCCGUAGCUCAGGUGGUAGAGCGGCGGGCUGUUAACCCGCAGGUCGUGGGUUCAAGUCCCACCGGCGGCGCCA
rnacentral:tRNA from 1 species